rnacentral:rRNA from 1 species
CAGUCGACGCGAAGUGGAGCAAUCCAUGAGUAGAGUGGCAAACGGGUGAGUAACGCGUGGGCGACCUACCUCAGAGUGGGGGAUAACCUUCCGAAAGGAGGGCUAAUACCGCAUGACAUACCGUGUUUGGAUACACGGAUAUCAAAGCCGGGGAUCGCAAGACCUGGCGCUUGGAGAGGGGCCCGCGUCCGAUUAGCUAGUUGGUGAGGUAACGGCUCACCAAGGCUCCGAUCGGUAUCCGGCCUGAGAGGGCGGACGGACACACUGGAACUGAGACACGGUCCAGACUCCUACGGGAGGCAGCAGUGGGGAAUUGUUCACAAUGGGCGCAAGCCUGAUGACGCAACGCCGCGUGGAGGAUGAAGACUUUCGGGUCGUAAACUCCUUUCGACCGAGAUGAAUUUCCGCCGACCUAACACGUCGGCGGGGUGACAGUAUCGAGGGAAGAAGCCCCGGCUAACUCCGUGCCAGCAGCCGCGGUAAUACGGGGGGGGCAAGCGUUGUUCGGAAUUACUGGGCGUAAAGGGUUCGUAGGUGGCUUGCUAAGUCRGACGUGAAAUCCCUCAGCUUAACUGGGGGAACUGCGUCUGAUACUGGCGAGCUUGAGUGCAGGAGAGGAACGCGGAAUUCCAGGUGUAGCGGUGAAAUGCGUAGAUAUCUGGAGGAACACCGGUGGCG